rnacentral:rRNA from 1 species
AAACAAUAAAGCAUUAAGCAUUGGACAUGGAGAGUACGACCGCAAGGUUAAAAAUCAAAGAAAUUGACGGGGGCAGUCACAAUAAAAGGAACAUGUGAUUUAAUUGGAAGCAACGAGCAGAACAUUACCAACCCAUGAAAUGUCCAUUACCGGUUCGAGAGAUCGGGCUUUCAGUUAGGCUAGGUGGAACACAGGAGAAGAAUGGCAGUAGUAAGCUCGUGUCGUAAGAUGUUGGGUUAAGUCCCGAAGGGAGCGCAACCCCUACCGCCAGUUGCCGUCAUUAAGUGGGGCAUUAGGGGGGAACUGCCGGUGCCAGCCCGGAGGAGGGGGGGGAUGGCGGCAAAUUCUUAAUGCCCUUAAGGGUUGGGCUUCCCAAGUUGUACAAUGGCGGUGGCAAGGGGAAGAGAAAUUGCAAGAAGGGGCCAAUUCCCAAAAACCGUUUCAGUUUGGGUUGCACUUUGCAACUUGGGUGCAUGAAGUUGGGAUCGGUAGUAAUUGGGGAUCAGCCCGCCGCGGUGGAUACGUUCCCGGGCCUUGUACACACCGCCCGUCACACCAUGGGAGUUGGCUUUACCCGAAGGUGGUGCGCUAACCGGCAACGGAGGCAGCCAACCACGGUCAGGUCAGCGACU